rnacentral:lncRNA from 10 species
CAACCGGGAUCCUGCUUGAGCUUGAGCUCCAGCUGAGGCCCUACUGCCUUGCGUGGUUCUUGCUAGGUCCCCUCCUGAGGGUUGGAUCUGUCCCUAAUUCUCAGCUGUUGACUCAGGUCCUGCUCACAGUGGACAAGUGACCUCCAACCAGGAUCAUGUCACUCCAGCAAAGGAAGAGAGGGCAGCAGGGCUGAAUCCUGUCAUGGAAUGCUUCCAUCUGCAAGUGGCACAUUUCAGUGGCCAAAGCAAAUUAUGCCAUCCCUGACUUCAAGACCAUUGGCCAUUCUCUGACCAUCUCAAGCCAGAGGUGACUUGAUCUGUCACCCAGCUGUGGCCCAUGAGCAUUAUCUAAGGAGGAACAUUUUUGCUUACGUUUCCAGUGCUCUACAUAAGCCCUAGGCCCUGGGAGGCACUGAAAUGCUCAAUGGGAGCUCCAUGUGUGCAGGCUUAUGGACUGAAAUACUACUUUCAUGGCUCUGGCUAUGAACAUCAGCAUAUAGAGAAUGGAUCACUACCAAAGAAGGCACCCGAAUGUGUCUGUCUCAUCCUGGGGAAACUCAUUCAUCUGUAUAUGUACUCAGCAAGUGUUUCCUGGCACCUGCUCUGGGUCACAGUGCUGGGCACUGGAAGCUGAGAGAUGUGGAAGAAGGCUGGACAUUCAAGGUAUGCACCCACACCUGCCUAGGGGACUCGUACCUGCAAACAAACAAAAGAUCACAGUGCAAGCUGACAAAUACUCUGAUAGAGGUGUGGGAAGAAAUGCUCCAGGAGCUCAGUGGAUUGGUGAAGUUUGCUUCAUUCAUUUAAGCAAAUAAAAAUGGGUUCUGGAUACAUUCAGCAAAAGAUGAUUUGGAAGGCAAGAAAGAUCUUGAUCACCAAGCUUAUGUGCUUGAUCUUGUGCUAUCCAGAGGGCUUCUGGCUAAUUCAUUGAACUUAAAGAUGAGAGAUAUAAUUUUCUUUUACAAAAAGACAAGUUUUCCAAAUUUGCUGACCUUUCCAAUGAUGACAGGUAGCUGUUGCUAUUAGAUAUUUUUGAAAAAGUAAACAUCUGUAAUCUGCCCUUUCAAGGUAAAGGCGAUAUUUUUUUAACAAUGAGUGAGAAAGGAACUGUUUUUUGAAACAGGUUUGUGUGCACAAAAGGAAGAACAUUUUAAAAUGGAUGUUUGAAGUGUUUCCACCAUUACAUGAUCCUAUUGCCUAAAAUUUUGUCAGGGUGUCACUUAUAAAAAUUGUUAUAUCUGUGUUCUAUAAAAACUUGGAAACAAAAUUUCCUAAAGUGUUAAAAAAUCUCCUACAUAAAAAAACCUGGAGGACUUUGUACACAUUUGUUCAAAAUGUAGAAAUGCUGCAUCUUCCAAUUCAUUUGCAGAAAUGAACAAUUGAUACGUGGAAUACAGAGAUCUAGUAAGCAAAUGUUCACAUUGUCUGUAUAAUUGGUAGGUGGGAUUGAAAAUGGGUCUAACAUGUACAAAGUGCAGCCAG